UUUUACAACACUACAUUCAAUUUUAUUUUAUUGAUUUUAUUGAAUAUCAACAUUUUAACAGCAUAUUGCAAGAUAUUACUAAUUGUACAUGGCAGCAGUAUUAGAUUUGGAAAGUACAUUAAUACUGAAUGAAGGCUUGACAUUUUUUUUAAAAUCAUAUUGGAGAAACCUUGAUGAACUCUACUGAUCUGCUGGUGCCCUAAACUCAUGUCAUGUGCAAGCAAUUAGCACCAGGUUAUCAACAAAGAUCAGCAUGAGUCAUGAGAGGGGCUACCAAGAUCCAGGUACAACCAAGUCCUGUCAAUGAACGCUCUAUUCACCAACACAAGCCGGCUAACCAGUCAAUCACAGAUCCACAGCAGAUUGCAUUUAUAUGAGAUUCUGAUUUAGAGGGGUUCAGUCACAAUUCCACAAAUGGUAGCUUUGCACCACUGGCUCCUCAACUAAGCCAGUACAUCAAAUGUCUAAACCUGCGAUUCAUUUCUCACUGCACACGAUUACAGCUGUUACAAGACAUGAGCAGGGUAUACAAACAUAUCUCACCACAGUCUGAACCUGACUCACAUUAAAUAUUAGUAUGUGAGAAAAGCUUGUUAUCACAAAAAUCGGAAGCGUUGCUUGCUAUGCGACAAAACUUGGCCGCAAGAAGAAUUCUGAUGCCACUUAAUUACGAUCAAAGAAUCAUGAAGCGUAAAUCAAGCAGGCGUUUCUCCUUCCACUACACAGGACAUUUUCUGUCCAUGUGGGUGCCUGCUUUACUACAGGACAGGUGUACCACCUCCCUCCCCGGAGCAAGCAAUUUAACAGAAGGGAGGGUCCACUCCGGGCUCGCUGUUUGGAUUGUGCAGUUAUACACAGACAUGUUAUGGACCUGUGUGCGCAAUCAUGUUCAUUGGUCUGUGGACUGGCUGCAGCACAGUGAAUCCCUACGCUGUCACACCUACAACAAGCACUGUAAAUCACCCACAGGUAAGUAGGCUAAUUAAAGUUACACCUAAUACAAUAGAAUUAUACACCACCACAAACCACCAGUCUCAAUGACUACAUUAGAGCACAUCCAAUACCUUUGACACAAUCUCAGUCUUUAUUACAUGGCUAUUAUGUUACACAAUGUGUAUCAAAUGAUAUCUUCCAUUAUCUGUAAGUGCCAUUAUCAAAACGCUGACCUAACAAUCAGCUGACAGUUAACAUCAGUUUUAUGAAGUAGAAGUAUGGUAUGCAUAAGGACAGCUUAUGUGUGAGCAUGUAUCACUUGUGCAGGCAGGUGGUGUGUGACAGACUGUCCAGCUCUGCUCACUGCACCACCUGCCUAUGAUCCAUCUUUGGCAAAUUUAACAUUAUUUUAUUAUUGCAGUUUUUAAGAUUCCAGAUCCAAGACCUCAAUAGAAAAGGGAAACAGUGAUGAAUUACUGUAUUUCAGCCCACAAAUGUAGAUAAAUAAUGACAUAAAUAAUUAUAAGCUUAAUUACAUGAGCUGUGAUCCUCUCCUACUGCAAUUGACAUGAUCGGUUAUUGGUUUAUCAGAGAGCACGUGGCUAGAAUCACAUAUCAGCAUGAACAGCAUCAGCAGAAAUGGCUCCACCUGCCGGUUUCGCAGGCGAAAUGCAAGUUUCUAGAAGGUACCAAGAGGCUAGCAGAACUCUCUAGCAGUUUCCAUAGGAAUCGAAAGCUCCUCCUCUUAACCAUCUGAGGAGGUUCUGUGAAUAAUGUCCCUGUACUUCACCGAUCUUGCACUGAAUCAGUGUGUCGGCAGUGGAUGGCACAAACUGACAAAAAUCUCUCUGCUCGGGAAAUCUGAUUGUGGUUCA